rnacentral:rRNA from 1 species
CACUAUGCUCAGCCGUAAACAUUGGUAGGCCAGCUACAACCCCUACCCGCCUGGAUACUACGAGCGUUAGCUUAAAAUCCAAAGGACUUGGCGGUGCUUUAGACCCCCCUAGAGGAGCCUGUUCUAGAACCGAUAAUCCCCGUUCAACCUCACCUUUCCUUGUUAAUCCCGCCUAUAUACCGCCGUCGUCAGCUAACCCUAUGAAGGCUUAGUAGUCAGCACAAUUGGUACAACCAAAAACGUCAGGUCGAGGUGUAGCGUAUGGAAAGGGAAGCAAUGGGCUACAUUCUCUAUAAUAGAGCAUACGAACGAUGUACUGAAAAACUACUUCUGAAGGUGGAUUUAGCAGUAAGUAGGAAAUAGAGCGUCCUACUGAAGCCGGCUCUGAAGCGCGUACACACCGCCCGUCACUCUCCCCGAAAUAUCAAUAUCAAUAACUAAAAAAUUAGAGUCUCAGAGGGGAGGCAAGUCGUAA